rnacentral:miRNA from 2 species
AAAAUGCACCAACUAUCUGAGA